AUGGACCGGAUCCCAUGCUGCGAGAAGGAGAACGUGAAGCGCGGGCAGUGGACGGACGAGGAGGUCGACAAGCUGCUCUCCUACAUCAUGCAGUACGGCGCGCGCAACUGGCGCCUCAUCCCCAAGAACGCCGGGCUGCAGCGGUGCUGGAGGAGCUGCCGGCUGCAGUGGGCCAACUACCUGCGGCACAAGCUCAAGCACGGCGAGAUCACUGACGCCGAGGAGCAGGCCAUCAUCAAGCUGCACUCCGUACUGAGCGACAGGUGGUACCCCACGAUGAUGAUCCACGCCGUCUCGUUCGUUGUCCGAGCUAGCUAG
rnacentral:rRNA from 1 species